rnacentral:misc_RNA from 1 species
ACAUCCUCAACCUUUCUUUGGUUUCUUGACCAAGGGAAGGCUUGGACUAUGGAGGUUUUUAUUUUUGCUGGCUUCCUUGGAAGCCAGCUCCUCCUAAAUGAAUUAGUAGGGUCUGCUUUGCCGAUCCUUGAUGUGAUAAGAUAUUUCUACAUCUUGGAUUGUGCACAAGUCAGUUUUGGAUUCUGCUUCUAACUGUCUUUGCAAAAGACAAUGUUGCGAA